AUGCUUUCACAACUUGACUUCAAAAUAUUUGGUUUGGAGACCAUCGAAGAUCAAUAUGUGCAUGAUGCUGAUUUUAAAGAUGUAAUGCAGAAUUGUAAAGAAGGAAGAAUGUGGAACAAGUUUGUUGUUCACGAUGGAUUUGUGUUUCGUGCUAACAAGCUAUGCAUUCCAGCUAGCUCCGUUCGUCUUUUGUUGUUGCAGGAGGCGCAUGGAGGAGGAUUAAUGGGACACUUUGGCGUGAAGAAGACGGAGGACGUACUUGCUACACAUUUCUUUUGGCCAAAGAUGAGACGGGAUGUUGAGCGGGCUGUUUUGAAGAAUAAUAAGAAAAUGUGGGAGGAAUGCUUGCCUCAUAUUGAAUUUGCUUAUAAUCGUUCAUUGCAUUCUACUACUAAGAUGUGCCCUUUUGAAGUUGUGUAUGGUUUCCUACCUCGUGCACCUAUUGAUUUGUUGCCUCUUCCAUCUUCGGAGAAGGUUAAUUUUGAUGCUAAACAACGUGCUGAAUUGAUUUUAAAAAUGCAUGAGUUAACUAAGGAAAACAUUGAGCGCAUGAAUGCUAAAUAUAAACUUGCUGGAGAUAAGGGUAGAAAACAUGUUGUGUUUGCACCUGGAGAUCUUGUUUGGUUACAUUUGCGUAAGGAUGGAUUUCCUGAUUUGCGCAAAUCAAAGUUAAUGCCACGUGCUGAUGGUCCCUUUAAGGUGUUAGAGAAAAUAAAUGAUAAUGCAUAUAAACUUGAGCUGCCUGCAGAUUUUGGGGUUAGUCCCACUUUUAACAUUGCAGAUUUGAAGCCUUAUUUGGGUGAGGAAGAUGAACUUCCGUCGAGGACGACUUCAUUUCAAGAAGGGGAGGAUGAUGAGGACAUCAAUACAAUUGUUACACCCACAGCCCCUGCUGCUAUACAUACUGGACCAAUUACUAGAGCUCGUGCACGCCAACUAAAUUACCAGGAAACAGACCCUCGUGGUCAGGUUGAUCGUGCUCCGGCGUGGUCAAUAACCUCUCGGAGUUGGUUUAGCGAUUGCUAA
rnacentral:rRNA from 1 species